GUAGGCUGCAACCCGCCUACAUGAAGUUGGAAUUGCUGUAAUCGCAGAUCAGAAUGCUGCGGUGAAUACGUUCCCGGGCCUUGUACACACCGCCCGUCACACCAUGGGAGCCGGUAAUACCCGAAGUCAGUAGUCUAACCGCAAGGGGGACGCUGCCGAAGGUAGGAUUGGCGACUGGGGUGAAGUCGUAACAAGGUAGC
rnacentral:rRNA from 1 species